rnacentral:rRNA from 1 species
UUGGAGGGCAAGUCUGGUGCCAGCAGCCGCGGUAAUUCCAGCUCCAAUAGCGUAUAUUAAAGUUGUUGCAGUUAAAAAGCUCGUAGUUGAAUUUCGGGACCAGUAGGUUGGUCGUGCUUACGGUACGUACUGGCUUCACUGGUUCCUCCCUUCUGACAAACCAUGAUGCCAUUAAUUUGGUGUUGUGGGGAAUCAGGACUGUUACUGUGAAAAAAUUAGAGUGUUUAAAGCAGGCUUAAGCUUGAAUACAUUAGCAUGGAAUAAUGAAAUAGGACGUUUGAUCUUAUUUUGUUGGUUUCUAAGAUCGACGUAAUGAUUAAUAGGGAUAGUUGGGGGCAUUAGUAUUCAAUUGUCAGAGGUGAAAUUCUUGGAUUUAUUGAAGACUAACUACUGCGAAAGCAUUUGCCAAGGAUGUUUUCAUUAAUCAAGAACGAAAGUUAGGGGAUCGAAGACGAUCAGAUACCGUCGUAGUCUUAACCAUAAACUAUGCCGACUAGGGAUCGGAUGAUGUUAAUUUUUUAAUGACUCAUUCGGCGCCUUACGGGAAAC